AACGAACGCUGGCGGCAUGCCUAACACAUGCAAGUCGAACGAGACCUUCGGGUCUAGUGGCGCACGGGUGCGUAACGCGUGGGAAUCUGCCCUUGGGUUCGGAAUAACAGUUAGAAAUGACUGCUAAUACCGGAUGAUGACUUCGGUCCAAAGAUUUAUCGCCCAGGGAUGAGCCCGCGUCGGAUUAGCUAGUUGGUGAGGUAAAGGCUCACCAAGGCGACGAUCCGUAGCUGGUCUGAGAGGAUGAUCAGCCACACUGGGACUGAGACACGGCCCAGACUCCUACGGGAGGCAGCAGUGGGGAAUAUUGGACAAUGGGGGCAACCCUGAUCCAGCAAUGCCGCGUGAGUGAUGAAGGCCUUAGGGUUGUAAAGCUCUUUUACCCGGGAUGAUAAUGACAGUACCGGGAGAAUAAGCCCCGGCUAACUCCGUGCCAGCCGCCGCGGUAACAC
rnacentral:rRNA from 1 species